GAUGCGGUAGCACAGUGGUUAACUGUGCGUGACUUGGGACCGUGAGGUCUUGAGUUCAAACCCUUUCCGCAGCU